rnacentral:other from 3 species
AAAGCACUGGAAUGUGCGAGCUUACUCUUUUAAUUGACCGACUAUUUUUUGUAUUGCAUAGGGGUUCAUGAGACAUUCCGUAGUAUGCAGACCUUCGGGGAGCGACUAAGCGGAAGCGAGAACACCCACCUGGCUUUUGAGCGGGUUCAAUACGUGGGUAAGCACACGGCAUUCAAUCAGUGCUUUU